GUAGGGAAUAUUGCGCAAUGGACGAAAGUCUGACGCAGCGACGCCGCGUGAGUGAUGAAGGCCUUAGGGUCGUAAAGCUCUGUUGAAUGGGAAGAAAAAAAUGACGGUACCAUUCGAGGAAGGACCGGCUAACUUCGUGCCAGCAGCCGCGGUAAUACGAGGGGUCCUAGCGUUGUUCGGAAUCAUUGGGCGUAAAGGGUGUGUAGGUGGCCAUGUAAGUCAGGUGUGAAAGCCCCGGGCUCAACCCGGGAAGUGCACUUGAUACUGCGUGGCUGGAGUACCGAAGAGGGUAGUGGAAUUCCAGGUGUAGUGGUGAAAUACGUAGAUAUCUGGAGGAACACCGGUGGCGAAGGCGGCUACCUGGUCGAGUACUGACACUGAGACACGAAAGCAUGGGGAUCAAACAGGAUUAGAAACCCCAGUAGUCC
rnacentral:rRNA from 1 species